rnacentral:rRNA from 1 species
AACAGGAUUAGAUACCCUGGUAGUCCACGCUGUAAACGAUGUCGACUUGGAGGUUGUGCCCUUGAGGCGUGGCUUCCGGAGCUAACGCGUUAAGUCGACCGCCCGGGGAGUACGGCCGCAAGGUUAAAACUCAAAUGAAUUGACGGGGGCCCGCACAAGCGAUGGAGCAUGUGGUUUAAUUCGAUGCGACGCGAAGAACCUUACCUACUCUUGACAUCCAGAGAAUUUGCUAGAGAUAGCUUAGUGCCUUCGGGAACUCUGAGACAGGUGCUGCAUGGCUGUCGUCAGCUCGUGUUGUGAAAUGUUGGGUUAAGUCCCGCAACGAGCGCAACCCUUAUCCUUUGUUGCCAGCACGUAAUGGUGGGAACUCAAAGGAGACUGCCGGUGAUAAACCGGAGGAAGGUGGGGAUGACGUCAAGUCAUCAUGGCCCUUACGAGUAGGGCUACACACGUGCUACAAUGGCAUAUACAAAGAGAAGCGAACUCGCGAGAGCAAGCGGACCUCAUAAAGUAUGUCGUAGUCCGGAUUGGAGUCUGCAACUCGACUCCAUGAAGUCGGAAUCGCUAGUAAUCGUAGAUCAGAAUGCUACGGUGAAUACGUUCCCGGGCCUUGUACACACCGCCCGUCACACCAUGGGAGUGGGUUGCAAAAGAAGUAGGUAGCUUAACCUUCGGGAGGGCGCUUACCACUUUGUGAUUCAUGACUGGGGUGAAGUCGUAACAAGGUAACC